rnacentral:lncRNA from 13 species
UUUGUCUAUGAACAAUUCCUAAGUAUGGUUAAGUUCCGGAAACGAACUUUAGGAAGAAGUUCUCAUUUAUUGGAAAAAUACUUUUUAUUUGACGCAACAAUCUGAAGCGACUACUGCAUUUGCUUUUAUAGAACAAUGGUCUAUUUUGAAAUAAUCAAAAGUAGACAGUCUUAUAAUCAUUGAUUUUGAGGUAUUAUUUCCGAACCGCAAUUUAAACAUACUCAAAUAAUGGAACUUAUUCUUUGAUAAAAUUGUUCAUUAUAAACAAAGUUGCAACAAAAAUAAUCUAAAAAUCGAUGUUGAGGAUUUGGAAUUACUUUCUAAAAAUUCCAAAGUAAUAAAACAAAUUAUACUAUUGUGUCAUAUUUUACCUCCAAAAGGAAGACUUGUAAUAAACAAAACGUAUUGGAAAUUACGAUCCAAGAAUAUAUAAAUUCUAUUAUAAUUCACGCACCUGUGAGUACUGUCAAAUAUUACAAAAAAUUAUUUUGAUCUCUGAAUCUCAUCUUUAAGUGAAUAUUUGAAUGUUUUGUAUUA